UUUUUUUUUUUUUUUUUGAAUGUAGCCUCUAGUGCCUAGGUUUAAAUAGCAGAACUGGCACGUAUUACUUAUUUAGCUGUGCACGAAUUGUCUAACCUAUGUUUUGAGUUCCAUAUCUUUAAAGUAGAUAUAGGCAUUCCCAUUGUGCCUCAGUGAGUUAAGAACCUGAUAUAGUGUCUGUGAGGAUAUGGGUUCGAUCCCUGGCCUUGCUCAGUGGGAGAAGGGAUCUGGUGUUGCCACAGACUGUGGCAUAGGUCACAGAUGUGGCUCAGAUCUGGUACUGAUAUGGCUGUGGCAUAUGCCUGCAGCUGCAGCUCUGAUUAGACCGCUGGCCUGGGAACUCGCAUAUACUGCAGGUGUGGCCUUAAAAAAAAAGGGAAAAAAAAUAGGUGUAAAUAAUAAUACACAACUCAUGGAAAUAUUGAAAGAUGUAGAACAAGACAAAAAAAAAUUAGACUAGGGUCUGGGAUAUAUUGGUGCUCAAGAAUCUAUGCCCGUGGCAUGUGGAAAUUUCCAGGCCAGGGGUUGAACCUGAGCCACAGCAUUAACCUGAGCCACAGCAAUAACAAGGCCAGAUCCUUAACCCACUAGGCCACCAGGGAACUACUCAUUGGGGCAUUUUGUUCAGGGAGUGAGUUAACAUGAACAGAAUUUUUAAAGAAUCAUUUUUUUUUCUGCCAUGUAUAGAUUGGCAUGUAGGGCAGGGGAUAGGUACAUGCCAUAUAGUUAAUAGGACUUUGCAGUACUUAUAUCAGGUAAGUUUGACCUAGGGUGAAAGCAUUGGGAUGGGAGGAAGAGCUGAGAGAAUUUGUUGACAGCUUAUUUUUGAGUUUGUGGUUAAGAGAAUUAGGAAUUCUGAAUAUUUGACUUAGAAAAUUGGGGGAAUGGUGAUUAUUAAGGUAGAGAGGGGGCCCAUAGGAUUCACCAAACACACAAGGAAUCUACGGGGACAAAAAGGUUAAGAAUCUUAAUCGAGGAUUCUUUGUCUGUGAAUCUGUUUUUUCCACAUUUCUUAAGACAGUUUUUCUUUUAUCUUUCCUAUCUUCUUGGGAACUCACUUUCCCCCAAUUUACAUACUUGAUCUGAUAAUAAAACAAUGUGUGAAGAUGAUCUUUGUCAAACUGGUUUACCACAGAGCAGAAGUGAGAACAUAAUGAAUUGAACACUCGUUUCGGUGAAUAUGUCCCAAAGCUUUUCAAGACCCAGCUGUUCAGGUUGAGCAAGUGACUCUCAUGAAAAGUGAUUUGUAGUUAUUUUCAUUUUUAUUUCCCUUAUCUUUUUUUCCCCCCAGCUCUUUGAGCCUAUUUUUUCCUGUAGGUGGAAAAUAAUUUUAAUUUCUUUUGUUCCCAGAAUCAACCUGAAUGGUAGACAGACCAGCCUUUCAAUUUAGCCCUAUUGCAUUCGCUUGACAUGGUCCAGAUGGCCUUCGCUGAUGGAUAGCUACAUGCCACCUUCCACACUGUCCCUAACAAUGUCCUGUGAGGAUAUAAUCUAUACAGGCAUCCAGCCUUGCCCAUCACAUGGCCUUUUCUUUCCUACGUGUUUUACUGAAGAUCAACAGCAUCUAGAAAGGAAAUUUGUAAAGUUCUUGCAAGUGACGCAAAUCUUUCUGCCUUUGAUGACAAUAACAAUAAAACCAAAGCCUUAUAAAUUAUAAUUGUUGUUGGCAAGGACCAUUGUUAUUUGUUUCAGCAAGUACUGUCCUUCAGAGACUAGUAUAUAUAUAUUAUAUAUAUAAUCAUUUUACAUACUUAAAGAUAAUAUCACUGACUUGCCACCUGUAUUUAGCCACUUAAAUUAUUUUUCCAGUCGUGAUGAUAUGAGCUAAACCACUCCUUUCCAUUUUUCUUCCUUAUGGGGAAAAUUGCUACAUCAGUCAGGACUUCAUUGGUUGCAAAAUAUAGAAAUCCAACUUGAAGUAGUUUUGGCAGGAAAUCUAGGCUUCAGCAUCAAAAGAAGAGUUCAAGAAAUUUUUACAAGGCAAGGAGCAGUUCCACUGGUCCUAGGACUGACGUGGAACCUUUUUUCUUUCCAUCUCUCAUCCCUUCCCGCCCUGUCCCCCAACAGAACAUCUUCUACUGACAGCUCGAGAGCUGUAUCUUUCCAGUUUUAGCAUCAGGAAAGAAAGGAUUCCACCUCUCAGUCUCACAGGAAAAAAGUCUUAAAGAACAGUGACCAGGUUCGGUCUGAAAUCUAAAGACAGUCAAAUGGUUGUGAUAUGGGAGUCAAGGUUACAGAGUAAGACAGCAGCCCGCAGACCAUGAAUUUACAGAGUGGGUCAGGAGGCAGGUCCCUCCUAAGAGUGGGAGGAUGCUGUUGUCAGAGAAGAGAAGGCUAUUAGACAAACACAAAACAAAACACUUUUUUAAAAAAAGAAGCAGCAAGUCUUCAUUAAAAAAGAAUCCAUUUGCAAGAUGACCAGUGGGAAUUAGAAGUUAACUAAGCAACAAGGGAAUAGAGAUUUACUGGUUCAGGAGUGGGGCACACCUCUUCUUAGUUUUCAGUCCCAGACAGUUAAACUCAUUGGGUGAUCCUCUUAUUAAACUUAGAUAUCUAAUCACCAUCAGCCCUUUUCUGGCAAUCAAAUCCCAUUGAAUUGUUGCACUUUCCUGAUGUCUUUAUUUUAAUUUAGAGAAGUCUAUGGUUUUUUCCUUGUCUAUCGUGUUUCAGGGACUUUCCUUUUCAAGAAGUCUUUUAGGAGUUCCCAUCAUGGCACAGCGGAAACGAAUCUGAUUAGGAACCAUGAGGUUGUGGGUUCGAUCCCUGGCCUUGCUCAGUGGGUUAAGGAUCCGGCAUUGCCAUGAGCUGUGGUUUAGGUUGCAGAUGUGGCUUAGAUCUGGCGUUGCUCUGGCCGUGGCAUAGGCUGGUGGCUACAGCUCCAAUUAGACCCCUAGACUGGGAACCUCCAU
rnacentral:lncRNA from 1 species